AGUUCUAUCAAUCCAGCUUCUUCAGGAUGAUGGGGAACAUGCUCCUGAAAUCGUUUGGGUAAGCAAUUGCUGAUUUUAGUCAAAUUCCCUCACCUCACAAAAAGGCUGGAGUGCAGUGACGUGAACUCGGCUUACUGUAACCUCUGCCCCCACCAGGUUCAAGCAAUUCUCGUACCUCAGCCUCCCAAGUAGCUGGGAUUACAGUGAAGUUUCUGAAAAGUAAUACAGCAGGCAAAUAAAAUCUGCAGGAGACAGCAGAAGGAAAAGCAAUUAUUCUGAAUAAUCUACACAUAAAAAAUAUGAUUUUGUUUGAUAUUUACCACCCCCUUCAAUUUUGAGGAGCGAUUACUUCCAAAUGAGGCAUGUAUGCUGAGUUGUUCUUUGACUCAUCUAUAAAGCUUUUAGCAAAUUGAGGGAAUUUGAAUUUCUAACAUCAAAAUGCAAUGUACAAAGGAGGAAAAAAUAUGACUCACCCAGCCCCCAAAUUUCAUAUUUAUAUCUCUGAUUGAAUCUGGUUUUAAAGGUAAGCAUAGUGACUGCAGCUGGUUUAUAGAUAAGCAAAUAGUAACAUAUAUGUUAACCUGCUCAACAUUAAGUUAUGCAUCUGAUUUCAUCCAAAAUAAACAUGCCCAUUCCAUUUUUCUGGUUUACUUUGUCUGCAAACCUGUAUGAUUUUGUGCUUAGCUUAUUCAUCUAGGCAGAUUGAUUUCUUUUGCAUGGCUCAUUUGGGCCACAGAGGAUUAGCAAAGUUUAUGUAUUGAAAACAGAAAGAAAGAAAGGCGAGAAAAAUAAAAAGACUGAUUAAUCAUAUAGUACAUACAUCAAUACAAUAUCUUCUAAAUCUCAAUCAGUUGUUUAUUGGUUGGCAAACAAGUUUCACUUUUACAACAAAUAUUAGUAAUGAGGUCAUCCAACUUUGAGACCAUACAAAAUGGAUCAUAAAUUAAAAAAAAAUUAUAUGUGCUGCUAAUUUACCUUUUGUAUUCCUACAUUACUCAAAAUCCUGUCAAAUAAAUAAAUUUUCCUGUUAAUAAACAGAAGACUUUUUUUUAAAAAAAUCACUUCAAAAUAAUUUGACCUUCCAAUGCUUACGAGGGAGUGAAUUUCCUCUAAAAAGUGGUAGUGCAGGUGCCCACUUGUUGAUCAGACUGAGCAUUCAGCACUUUAAUGCCUAUGGAAAACCGUUUUUCACAUGCAGAAGCCCCACUAGUUCUAUAGACACCUUUUGACUUCUAGAAUCAUAGCUAGUGUCCUGGUGAUGAACUGCUUGCCAAAUAUGCUUUGCAUUACAACAGACGUGCCCUGUAAACAUAAAAGUUUGUCCUGCUCUAAUUUGCAAAAAACACUGUUGGAAAUAUUCUGACUGCAUAAAGAUAUAUAGUGAGGGAAGGAAGUCUAAUUUUAUUUAUUUUGUUUUUUUGUAAAAAAUAAUUUGUUUGCAUUACUAGAAAAUGAUUCUUAUAAAGUGAUAGUUCCAUUUAUUUAUUUUUUGCCAGGCGAAAUUUUAAAGGAAUAAAAGGCAAAAAAGAAAAAAAGAAAAUGAAGAAAGAGAAGAAAGGAAGGAAACUUUGCUCUCUUACUGGUAGACAAACUUGC
rnacentral:lncRNA from 1 species